rnacentral:rRNA from 1 species
GACGAACGCUGGCGGCGUGCUUAACACAUGCAAGUCGAACGGUAAGGCCCCUUCGGGGGUACACGAGUGGCGAACGGGUGAGUAACACGUGAGCAACCUGCCCUUGACUUCGGAAUACCAGCUGGAAACAGCUGCUAAUACCGGAUACGACCUCGACCGACAUCGGACGAGGUGGAAAGCUCCGGCGGUCAAGGAUGGGCUCGCGGCCUAUCAGCUUGUUGGUGAGGUAACGGCUCACCAAGGCUUCGACGGGUAGCCGGCCUGAGAGGGCGACCGGCCACACUGGGACUGAGAUACGGCCCAGACUCCUACGGGAGGCA